rnacentral:rRNA from 1 species
AUGGGUAACCUUGCAAUCGGGUCUUUGAAGAAUUGUGGAGUUGCAUAUACUAAGUCUGGUGAGAUUUCUAAGGAUGAACUUGCCAAAGAGUUCUCUGUAAUAUAUAAAACCAAUUGGCCUUGGCAGAUUAGAGAGCUUGAUCAGUGGUCCUUCUUAGUUAAGUUCACCCCUCAUAUUCAAGUUGAACAGGUGGCUGGCUAUCCCUGUUUUGGGCUGUCAAAGGAAGACAUGACUGUCAGAGUUGCAGUCUGGAAGGAAGAAUUAGAAAAUUUCGAGGAAUUAACUGAAACUUGGAUCCAGCUUAGAGGUUUAUUAUUGCCUAAAUGGUGUGAAUGA